AGCUUUGCACAGUGGCAGUAUCGUAGCCAAUGAGGUUUGUCUGAGGUGCGAUUAUUGCUAAUUGAGAUGAUUGCUAAUUGAAGUUCUAAGGCCCAGGCUUAGACUGCGGAUGGAACUAGCCCUGUACUACUGCUGGAAACAGAAAUUGGAGUACAGACCACAGU
rnacentral:snRNA from 1 species